UAACUAUAAUUGAAUUACUUUUUCAAAGUAACUUGCCCAACACUGGUGAAGUGUACCCUGUUUUGGUUUUGGACUUUUUCCUUUGAACACCGUGUUGUUGAUAAAAUUUUGAAAUAACAUAAAACUCAAUUUCUUCACAAUAGGAAGCCUGCUUAAACUAAAUGCUGUUAGAUGCCGCACGAAAAGAGUCAAAUGCGCUCAGAAGACACUCGAAGUGACGAUAAAGGGGGGCUAUUUAAAUGCCUUUUCGAGAUAUCAUGUUGCUGUUGCGUCCUGCUACCUGCAGGGGCGCACAUGUUCAUGACGUUUUAUUUGAGGAUCGGAGAAAACUGAGUCACUUGGACAGGAGGACGUGAUAAUUUCACAGCAGUACAGGAAUGAGGCUGAAUUUUGAGGCACAGAUUUUGAGGCUGAAAUAGUCAUCAUCUUAACAAAAAUUGUGAUACUUAGAUACAGGAAAUAAUUUUACUGCUAUAGUUUUAGAGGAAGGAAGCUUCACUCUCAGCACACAGGAUGGUAAAAAAGAAAAAAAAACUCUUUCAAUGUAUUCGUCGCGACCCAUUUAUUGUCUUGAAUGUAACCAUCCUGGUGGGUGUCGUCGUUUUUUAUUACCAGUACCUGCCCUGCAGUUGCAGCACCUGCAAGCCAUGGGUGUGCCAGUUUUUAUAACGUUUUUCUUAAUGCUGCUGACAAACAGGACAUUCCGGAGAACUGCGAAACACGCUGGGACGCUUCCAUGUGUUGUAGUCAAGCGCGUUAUCAGAGCCUUUUUAAUUGCUCUGCUGUGGGUUGUAGCUGUGUUAGUUCAUGGUGUCUGGUACUUCUGCUGUAAGACUGACGAGAAAAACAUCAAGCUGCAAACUUGUACUAUUAAUGGAUGAAGCAGAAAAAGCCAAAAGAGCUGAGAGGAUGAACACAUCAAAGAUUUGUGGUUACACGUUGUUAUUGACUAUAAUUGUAGCGGCUUUCUUCACGUCAUGGAGUGGAUGGAGACGAUUCUUUGAAAAAGAAAAAAAGGGCAUUUACAGCAGGAAAAGUUUGUACUACUAAGUGGUUUUGGAAGAGGAGGAAACAAAUCUUUAGCAAAGACCAGCAGCACUUUUUAAAUUUGUGUUGGUUCAGACUUCAGAAGAAUAAAGAAACCACACCACCGUUUGACUAAACCGACUGAAGAAAGGGGGGAAAAAUCAAGUGAUUCAACUACAGAAGCAACGCAAGUCACAUAAUCACAGAAAUCAUAUUGUACUAUAAAUUGUGAUUGCUUUGUCUUUCAGACUGUAUAAAGCAGCUUAUCUUUGCUGUUUGUAAUGACAGAGUCACAGAAACAUUUCUAUGAGGCUUUAAAGUCUCUGUGGCCUUUCAGUUUAAUACACAUCUUACUCAAGUGCUAAAAAGCAAUGAUAAUAAUCAAGCAUAAUGCCUUUGCUUUAACUCUUUCCUCCAUAAAGGCGACAUUUGAAAACCUGCCCUGUACCCUGUACGAGUUUUGACACCUCAGUAUAUAUCUAUGUGAGGUUUGAUGUUUAUACUUGGUUUGAUGACCAUUAUGAUUGGUUCAGAUUUUUCCGAGGGUAUCCCUAGUAAGCUGACCACCUUCGCUUCUAAACCUUCUGAUGCACACUCAGUCAUGUUAUUGUGGAAGCAGGACAGAAAUAUGACAGAAACCCACAGUUCAGAAAAGAGAAAAAGGGUUCACCCUCAUAGGUGUCCAAGAGGGAAUGAGUACAAACUCUUUAUUGUUAACUUAGUACUUAAUUAUUCACUGUAUAAUAUAAUCUGAAUCUUCUACUUCUAAUAUUAGAUUAAUAAGAGGUCUGAAGAUAUCCUGCUCUUGACUAUGAUACUACUAGAAAAUGUGAUAAAACGUAGUGUGAGCUUUGAAAGUCUGCUCAUAUGCCUCUGUGUGAAGAUUGUUUUAUAUUAUUUUUUAAUAACCUAAAGACAACGAAUGUUCAAAUAAACUGUUUCUGCUCUUAAUUUAUUUUUUUUAAGGUUGUGUUGGAUUUGGACUUUUAUUACAUACAAAAAAGAGAUGAUAGUAGAUUAUAAUAUCAAAGAACUGUAACGCAGCUCCUAUAAACUGGACUGACCUGCUGCUGCUGUUUGCCAAAAUUGACAGCGUUGUGAAAUAAAAAAAAAAGAUGAAACAAACAAAACAAACAAAACAGAAUUUAUUUCACCAACUUUGAUCUAGUUGAUGUUUAACCCUGAAUUUAUGGUUAAAAAACAGGUUUAUACUCCAGCAAGAAGUAAAUUCUUUUACCAAAAACCACUGAAUUCAGUUUAUGUAAUGAAAGUCAGUGCUACACGAUCAAAGGUGUGGGAGUUACAGGUGCUGCACUCUAGCAUAUUUUUAUCCUGUAUAAGUUAACAGUACUUUAAGUGUAGUUUAUGACAAUUAUCUAAACUGAACUUAGUACAGGGCAGCACGUUGGUGUUGUGGUUAGCACUGUUGCCUCACAGCAUGAGGGUCCUGAGUUGAAUUCACUGUCUGGUUGAGGCUUUUAUGUGUGGAGGUUGCAAGUUCUCCUUGUGUCUGUGUGGAUUCUCUUUAGCUAGGUAGUCCAGCUCGCUUGCACAUGCAGUUAAUGCAACAGGUUAAUUGGUCAUUCCAAAUUACCUGUAGAUGUGGACCUGAGGGCAAAUCGUUUUCUGUGCCAAAUCACAAUCAUAAAUUUAGUGGCAAACUACAACAACAGUUGCCUCAAGGCACUUUAUAUUGUAAGAUAAAGGCCCUACAAUAAUACAGAGCAAACCUCAACAAUCAGAUAAUAACAAUAAUAACUAAUGAUUAAAUGCAGAGUAGUGCAUAAAGAUCUGGUGAGUGAAAAAGGUUAGAGAAGGACAAA